GGCCAAGUUUUUAAGGGCGCACGGUGGAUGCCUUGGCACCAGGAACCGAUGAAGGACGUGGGAGGCCACGAUAGUCCCCGGGGAGUCGUCAACCAGGCUUUGAUCCGGGGGUUUCCGAAUGGGGAAACCCGGCAGUCGUCAUGGGCUGUCACCCUUGCCUGAACACAUAGGGCAAGUGGAGGGAACGCGGGGAAGUGAAACAUCUCAGUACCCGCAGGAAGAGAAAACAACCGUGAUUCCGGGAGUAGUGGCGAGCGAAACCGGAUGAGGCCAAACCGUAUGCGUGUGAGACCCGGCAGGGGUUGCGCAUUCGGGGUUGUGGGAUCUCUCUUUCAUGGUCUGCCGGCCAUGAGACGAGUCAGAAACCGUUGAUGUAGGCGAAGGACAUGCGAAAGGUCCGGCGUAGAGGGUAAGACCCCCGUAGUCGAAACGUCAGCGGCUCGUUUGAGAGACACCCAAGUAGCACGGGGCCCGAGAAAUCCCGUGUGAAUCUGGCGGGACCACCCGCUAAGCCUAAAUAUUCCCUGGUGACCGAUAGCGGAUAGUACCGUGAGGGAAUGGUGAAAAGUACCGCGGGAGCGGAGUGAAAUAGUACCUGAAACCGUGUGCCUACAAGCCGUGGGAGCGUCGG
rnacentral:ncRNA from 1 species